GAACAAGCCAGGGUGUAGGCACAGGGGACGAGAUGGGGCAGCCAGCAUCUUGCUGGCUUACAACAAGGAGUCUUGGAGUGACGUGGUCUAGAGUGGAGAGCGGUGCCUUCAGCAGGCCCUGGGGGUCAGCAUGGACAUUUCCACUAACUCCUAGACUUGCGCUUCGGCGGACACUGGCAGAUGUGGCAAUACCCCUGCUUCAGGGGCAGCAACGCGUCUUGGAAGAGCUCUGGCUGAACACUUCUGCUCAGCCUUCUGCAUCUCCCACAUUCCUUGGCAACUGGUGGUUCGUCUUCUGAGAAGCCUGGGACCCUGGACUCAGCUCACAUAUGGAGAAAAGCACUGUCCCCAGAAUGUGACGUCUCACCCAGUUUCCACGGGAGGCCAGUUCUCUAGAUAGCAGGAGGAAAGAAAGGCCAGCCUGUGUGAUGAUGGUCAUUUCUGGAGCCUGCCUUCCAGGAAAGAAGUCUGCCAUUGCUCUGUUGUUGGAAGGAGCUUUCCAGCCCCUGGCUCUGGGACACACAAGAUGUCCCCUGCCCAGGUCAUAGACAGAGGCAGAGGACCACUGCCUGAGGAGUGGGAGGUGAUACUCCUCACGGGCAUGCAGCCCCCUCCACUUUAAAAGCAGUCAUUCCCGUGACUUCAGCACAGGAAGUGAAAUCACUAUAAAUAUUUAACAGAAGAAGGAGUCCCAGGUCACAGAGCCCCGUCCAUCAGAACCAUCCAGAGAUGCAGAGAUAAAAACGUCCCCUCACGGUUGUGACCAUAAACAUCGCAGCAGGCUUCGAGAUUUGUAGACGGCUCGUCUGCAGAGACCAAGGAUAUUUUGGAAUAUCUAUUCCAACCACACACUUCAUUGGGGUAAAAUUCAUCUAUCUCUCUUUCUCUUUUUCAGUGCAGUGAAGGGAAUCAUACCCAGGCCCUAGCAUAUGAGAGGCAAAUGCUCUAACCACUGAGGUUCACCUCCCGCCCUCUCUUUUGUCUCUGUUAGUUUCUCAUCUCUAAAAUGAGGAUGAUGAAGAGGUACCCAUCCCGCUCCUUUGCUGGGAGUUGAGCUGGUAGGAUGGAGGUUAAGUUAUCCAUACAAGAGCCUGGUUCUUCGAGUUUUCUGUCAGCUUCCUGACUGGUGCUACGCUAGUGUAACGGUGUGACCGUUUCUCCACAGAGCGACCCUGGCUCUCCCCGUUCCCCCGUGUUGUCCCACUUCACCCCGUCAGUUGCUUUCCCUAUCAGUGCCUGUUCCUUUGUUUUGUUUCUCAUUUCCUCUCACCGGAGGGAGAUCGGGGACUGAAUACCGAGGCAGAGAAAGGUGUGCCCGCGUGUCUUUCCAACCCCCUGCCAGCGGCAUGCAGCUCAAGUUCACUACCAAGUUCUUCGGUGGCGAGAGCAGAAAACGGAAUUUGGGAAAGAAUCCUUGCUUGAGAUGAAACUGUGGAUGGACAAACAGAAGUCUGAAGACCAAAGACUGAUUUAGUGUCACAAAGAAUUUAGAGUCACCAUUAGAACCAGAGCCCACUUCCUUUACGCCAAGCUUGGGACUUUCCACGUACCACCUAAGGGGGCAAUGUGCUCCACCAUCAACAUAGAGCAGGAAGGGGCCGCCUUGGAAUCAUGGCAAGUGCACUAUCCACAGGGCUCUCCUCCAGCAGAGUUAUAAACCCGAGAGCCUUAUAAACAUUACCUUAUUAAGGCUUCUUGGAAGCCCAAGGUCACAGCUCCUCUGGGUCAUGGGACACCAGCUGCAGGUCCAGUGAACGGAGGACCACGUAACAUUUUUCACUUGGUUUAGCAAACCUGUUUUCUAAUUAUAGGAUUUGUUUUACA